UACGAAGGGGGCUAGCGUUGCUCGGAAUCACUGGGCGUAAAGCGCACGUAGGCGGAUUGUUAAGUCAGGGGUGAAAUCCUGGGAGCUCAACUCCAGAACUGCCUUUGAUACUGGACGAUCUUGAGUCGGGAGAGGUGAGUGGGAACUGCGAGUGUAGAGGUGAAAUUCGUAGAUAUUCGCAAGAACACCAGUGGCGAAGGCGGCUCACUGGCCCGAUACUGACGCUGAGGCACGGAAAGCGUGGGGAGCAACAGG
rnacentral:rRNA from 1 species